UAGGGAAUAUUAGAAAUGGACGAAAGUCUGAUCUAGCAACACCGCGUGUGCGAAGAAGGCCUUCGGGUCGUAAAGCACUUUUUGGAAGGAAUAGGAAGGAAUGUACUUCCAGAAUAAGUCUCGGCUAACUCCGUGCCAGCAGCCGCGGUAACACGUAGGAGGCGAACGUUAUCCGGAUUUACUGGGCGUAAAGCGCGUGUAGGUGGUUCUGUAAGUCGGGCGUGAAAGCUCCUGGCUCAACUGGGAGAGGCCGUUCUAAACUACAGAACUAGAGGAUGGUAGAGGGAGGUGGAAUGCCAGGUGUAGCGGUUGAAUGCUCAGAUAUCUGGAGGAACACCAGUGGCGAAGGCGGCCUCCUGGACCAUUCCUGACACUCAGACGCGAAAGCUAGGGUAGCAAACG
rnacentral:rRNA from 1 species